rnacentral:lncRNA from 1 species
CAGAGUGAGACUCCACCUCAAAAAAAAGAAAAAAGGAAAACCAAGCAAAAGUCACUGUCAGGGGACCUCCCACCCACCAUACAGGGGAACACUCGGCAGAGCCAGAGGCCUGGGCCCAAGUCCUGCCACCAGCUGGCUGUGAAACUGUGGUACAGCACCUUGUGUCCUGCCACCAGCCGGCUGUGAAACUGGUACAGCACCUUGUCCUCAGGUCCUUGGUUUCCUCACUUGUAAAUUCAUGGUUCUCCAUGGCAUCUCUGGUCUUCAACAUUAUUUUGCAUAGAGUCUCAGAAGCUUUAGUGUGAGCGGAUGAUAUGGGCACGAAGCAAGGCACCCAGAAGUGGGGGCAACUACUCUGCUUUCUAAAAUGCAAGGGAACCGGAAAAUCCAGGAGCCGUGCCAAAUGAGAAGAGGAACAAAUGGAGGAACAUCCCAGUCAAGUGACAUUCCUAGUGACAUUCACCAGAACAGAGUCAAGCUUUGGAUCCCAUGUUCUGUGACUUCCUCUUCACCACGCUUCCUCCACACACGUAGCAGCUCAAGGGUUUCUGAUGAGUGGGAGGCUUGACUAGAAUUGAAUUCGAGACAAGCACAAAGAUCAUGAUGCAAAUGAAAGGGACAGAGGGGAGAGAAACAGAAAACAAAGCAUUGCACCCAGUGGAGAAGCAUGUGUGGCCAGGGAGCUGCAUGAAGGUGAAAUCAGAACCUGUCCUUGGAGCACUCCUGGAAGUAUGAGCAGGGGUGCAGUCAGGACGGCCUGACUCUCUGACCCUGUGACUGAGCCACAGGGGUCUCUUCUAUGCUUCACUGUGCUUCUUCAAUCUUGCCAUCACUGUGUUGAAAAAGCAUCCCUGGGCAUUUGUGGUGAAGCCAUUGGCAGAGCAUCAACAGUCUUUCCAAUGUACCAGUCCCACAGGGACCAGCCCCGGCUCCUUUACUUGGUUCAUCAUCCCACAAAAAAGGCUCCAGAGUGAUGAGUGGAGGGAAUGUGUAUACAAGCUGGGAGAUGCUUCAGGGAUGGGGCAUGACUCUGAGAAGCUCCACAUGCAAAACAGGGUUAUGAUGGUCUAGGAGCCAGCUGCAGGGAGGUGGGCAGCCAGGAGGUGGGCUGGGGCUAUCAGGGGAGUGACUGACUGCAAGGGCAGGCUCAAGGUGAAACUUUGAGAGGCAGAUCCCAAGGCCCUUGGAUCUGGCCUGUUACAGCAAAUGGAGGAGUAAGGCAGAAAAGUCCUCUAGGGCUGUCUUCUACUCUCUCCUCCAACAGAUUUUCACUGAGCAUUUGCCAUGAGCCAGACUCUGUUAGCUGUUGAGGUUUCAAGGGAAGGUAGAAAAGACAGAAGCAAACCAAUGAUAAAGAUAUCUAUUGUCUUUUAGUGACUUUCAUACACGCUCCCUCUCUUUUUUAUUCUGUGCAUCUCAUUAUCUAAGGGCUCGUUUUGUACCAAAUGCUUUUAUACAUCAUCUCAUUCAAAUCUCUCUGAGGUUGGAAAUGCUAUUUUUGUUUUACAGCUGUAAAAACUAAGGCCAGAGAGGGAAAGUGAGUGACCCAGGGCCCCACAGCUAGACAGAUUCAAAUCCAUGGGGUCUAUCUUAGUGACAAAGCUGGCACAUUUCUUCCCCUCCUUGUGCCUGCUGAGGUUUUUUUGUUUUGUUUUGUUUUGUUUUUUGUUUGUUUGUUUUGGCUUUUAACAUUUUACAAUAUUUUGCUAUUUUUUCCUAAUCAGGCAAUAUACAUAAAUAUUUUAACAAUCAACUAGUUUAAGAUUUAUGAAAAACAGCGUUUUCUUGCCCACCUUCUCCCAAUUCUUCCUGCUCCCCAGAGGCAGCCACUUCCAAAUGUUAGCCAGUUCAAUUCUACAUGUAAUAGGAGAACGGCAAUUUUUAUUGAUGUGUUGAUUUGAGACAUUUGGCAUCUUCCGGUGAUGAAGUUUUGUCUCUCUCUACUGGACACCAUCUGCCUCUUCCAGAUGUAUUCUUCUCACCCUGGGCAUUCUCCCAAGAGGCUGACCUGUAGGAACGCAGUGAACAGGCUACCUGAUCACUGGCUUCUGGGUUGGGUGUGGCUCAUGAGAGACAUUGGCAGGAGACUGGAUUGGAGGAAGAUGCAGGGGCCAGAGUGUUUACUCUCCUAGAUAAGCCCCUUCCUCCUCUUCUGGCAGGCAGUGCUCUCCAUAUAGCCGCUCUCUUAGGUUCUAGAAAUUGCUCCUACCUUGCCCUUGAGCUCUCAUGCCUAGAGGUGGCAAUGACUGCCUGCUACUGUCAGUGCUAGGUACUGCACUCUGUUUUCCUAAACCCUUUUCACACUUUUAUGAAUAGUCUAUUCAUUACAAUUAGAUACAACUUACCCCCACACCAUCCCCAUACAACUAUACACUCCCCUUCCAGUAUCCUCUCAAUAUAAUUAUAUCAUAUUUGUUGACAUCAUUAGUUGGACAGUAUUUACAUUAUUAAACUAUAUAAAUAUUGCUGACUACAUAGCCAAGUAGAGAGUUAUCAGUCGUGAUUGCAUUUCCUUUUCUAAACUAAUUUUUGUUUUUCCUGCGUUUAACUGCCCAUUUUAAAAAAAGACUUAGUUUUCAAUACAUAGGUCUUUAAUUCUUUCCACACACACCAUCAGACAUGUUAAAUGCAUGUACAUGUUGUUUUCCUGUUUCAAACAUUGUAAAUUCUCUGUAUCUUUUUCUUUGGGUGGGGGGCAAGUGUGAAGUAAACCAGCCUCCAGAAUAAAUAGAACUCAGUGUUAUGGAUUCUAAAAUUAAAAUCUUAACAAAUUAACAAAGUGAUGAAAACAGGAAGUUUAGCUCUCAAGGAUCCUUUAUUGGUCUUAAAGGUUUUACUCUCUUUGGCAAAUAUUGUGACCACUUUAUAGAUGCUACAUAUUCUACUAGACAAAUACUAUGACCUCUUUCAAAGUGUAUCAUCAUUCCCCUUUUAAAUAGCACAUUCGAAGUGUGCUGACUUUUAGUUCUAGGGUCUGCCUUCCCCUUACCUGCUGAGUGUCACAGGAUCUCUUCCCUCCUUGAUUAUCUCAAGGAGAUACAUCAACUUUUGGUUCAUAAAAGAAAGUCAGUCGCUUUUAUUUGUUAAAGACUUGAAGUAUGGGCUGGGCGUGGUGGCUCACGCCUGUAAUCCCAGCACUUUGGGAGGCCGAGGCAGGCGGAUCACCUGAGGUUUGGAGUUUGAGACCAGCCUGACCAACAUGGAGAAACCCUGUCUCUACUAAAAAUACAAAAUUAGCUGGAUGUGGUGGCACAUGCCUGUAAUCCCAGCUACUUGGGAGGCUGAGACAGGAGAAUCGCUUGAACCCGGGAGGCGGAGCUUGCGGUGAGCCGAGAUCGCCCCAUUGUACUCCAGCCUGGGCAACAAGAGCAAAACUCUGUCUCAAAAAAAAAAAAAAAAAAAAAUUGAAGUGUAGUAGGCCUCAAUCUCUGGCUUCCUGCAGUGUAGAUCUUAUCAACAUAAGGUCUCUAUUUAAAAAUGCUGAAAUUGUAGUCUUAUUUUUCGCAAACUUUUCCUGGAGACCCUUCCCUGGAGCCCCCUCUUAGUCAGCUACUUGCUGGACCUUUCUUUCAGCAUUAUCAGCUAUUUCCCUUUCCCUCUCCUGUGCUAGAUGUCCUGUUUCCUGGAUUCCAUACCCUCUUAUUUCUUGAUUUACUCCUUUGUUUUGCUGGAGCAGAUCUUCUAGCAGCUUUGUAAGAAAGCGUGCAUGGAAGGUAAUUUUUCUUGAGUGCCUACAUGUCUAAAAAUGUAUAUGUCCUACUAUUCACUUGAAUUGUAACUGGACAAGCUUAAAAUUUCAGACUAUAAAUGAUCUUUCCUCAAAAUUGUGAAACAUUGCUCCAUUGUUUUCCUGUAAUAAGUGUUGCUGGAGAGAAAUCUGAAGCCAUUUGAUCCCCUUUUUUUGGUUUGCUAUGUGUUCCCUAUAGAAUUCUCUUUUUAACCCUGGUAUUUUGAAAUUUAUGGCACAGGACUUUGGUUGUGCCAAAAAAGGGCACAUUUUAAAAAUUUUAUUAUUUUAGUGGUGUUUUUCAAUUUGAGAAUCUUAGCUUUUAGUUAUAGAAACUUAGUUAUAGGAACUUUUCUUUAUAUAGAAUUUCCUUCCUUCCAAUUUAUAUAUUGCCUCGGGAAUUCCUACCAUUCAAUUUGAAACUUGUGGAUUGAGCUUUUAAGUCUCUUCUUUUAUCUCUCUUAUUUCUUUUUUUCCUCUGGUUCUGUUUUCUGGGAGAUUUCUUUGACUUAUCUUUCAAUUGUUUAUUAGAAUUUUAAUGAUCCAAUUUCUUGUUUUCUGACUGCUUUACAUUAAAAACAUUUUAUUCUAGUUUUACAUAUUCAAUAUCUUCUCUCUCUUUCUAAGGAGAGUAAUCUGGUUUAUUUUUAUUUUAGAAGUUUUCUUCUCUUUCCUGCGUUGUCUCUGUUUCUCCUGGGUUCUUAUUUUUGUUGUGUCUGUUUCGGUUUCUAAAUCUUGAAGUCUUACUUUGCCUGCCUAGAGACCCUUAGCUACUUGGAAGCUCUGUGUUUUCAAGGUUGGGCUUUUAACUGGUGGGUAUCAAAGUAGGGUUAGUGGUGAGCGGGACAUUUUUGUGGGGACUCCCAUAUUUCAAUAUCUAAAGGAAUCCUUUUUUAUUUUUAUUUUUCCAGGACCAUUUAGUCUAUCCAGGGAACUAAUGUCUAUAUCUGUACCCUGGUUGGUAAAAUGCUAGCUGUGAGCGGGGGCAGGGGGAGGUGACGAAGUGGGGAUCCCUGUGUGUCUCAGUCUCCACUGUGCAAACUUACCCCUAUCCCCCGUCCCUUCAGUUUUAUUGACCCCUACUUUACACUGUGUGUGAUGACCCCAAGUCUAGAGAAUUUCAGGUUAAUUUCUCCCAGAGUGUAAUUGCCAGUCCCAGGCUGGGGUCGGGUGGAAGUGAAGUAGUAUGUAUGGGCUGGAGGGUAGUUGCUGCGGUCAAAGGGAGAAAAGGGCACAUGGAGAUCGAACUAGACCAUGUUCUGACUUUCACUCUGCUCCCCUAUUUCACACCCAAGCCUUGCACCUGUCUUUUAAGGCAUCUGGUGCCUUAGCUUAUGCUCUCAGAGUCCUGGAAGAGGACUGGCCUCUUCUCACACCCUCUUCUCCCCCUUCCCCUUGCAGGCACCCUAGCUCACAACUUACUCCUAAAUCUGUACCAUUUCUUUAUCUGCUUUCCAUCUUCCAAAAUAAUAAUAAUAAUAAUAAUAAUAAUAAAAACACCUGCUGAGAUCUCUUCUUCUGAUGUCUUUUAAUUCCUUUCCUGCCUCUGGAGGUCAAUCUGCUAUGUUUAGUUAGAAGUCCCAAAGGCCAUGCUUUGAACCAUUAGGUAAUCCUGCUUUCUGCAAGACAACUUCAGUAUCUGAGAGUUUUUUCCUCCCGUAGUAAAAACAAAGUCAUUUCCAUCUUUGUGUUUACCACAGCUGGUGGCAAAGACUCUCCUUGGCCAAGGCUUAGUCAGGCUCCUCUGAGCUCUCUUAUCGACUAGGCUUCGGCCUUGGUCUUAGUCGUUGCCGAGCCUGCACUGCCCAGUCUUGGCAAGAAUCCUGUUAAGUCAGUUUAGCAAGAAUCCCUCACCCUUGAUUUAUGAUCACCCUUAAUAUCUGAUCAAGUUCUUUAUGUACCACAUUUUCUUUUCUCACUGCACUUUCACACUUUCAUUUCUAACAUCCCUCACUUUUGAUGUAUAUAUCCUUGGCCUGCCUUUAGCAAGAAUUCUGUUAGGUCAGUUUUGCAAGAAUCUCUGUACCCUUGAUGUGUCCUCUUGGUAAUUUUUCAUCCAAUCAUCCCCAUCUUGUUCCUUGGCCCCAGCAGUCUUUGUUGUAUUUGGAGUUGAGCCCAAUCUCUCUCCCUUAUUGCACUGUCCCUAUUGCAAUAGUCCUUUAAAAAAACAAUUUUUUUUUUGGCAGAGAGAGGGUCUCCCUAUGUUGCCCAGGCUAGUCUCAGACUCCUGGCCUACUAGGUGAUCCUCCUGCCUCGGCCCUCCAAAGUGCUGGGAUUAUAGGUGUGAGCCACCACAUCCUGCAGUAAUCUUGGAUAAAGUCUUCCCUACCCUUAUAACAAGUGUCAAAAUAAUAUUAUCACUGGCAUUUGGGAAACAGUGCAGAAGCAGUGCAAGCAGGGACUGCGUGAGAAUGGGAAAGCUAGCCUUUGCCUCAAGAACACUCUGCUUGACUUCAUUAGACAGCUGCACAGGAGGUAAUUUUCUAGGGCAUGGUUUUUCAAACUGUGAGCUGCAACUAUUUACUAAGUCACAUCAACAUUUUAAAAUGAAAUAGAAUAGAGUUAGAAAAUACCAUCCUGUAUUGCCUGUAAUUAAGGGAAGUAUUGACUCAUAAAACUUUUGUUUCAGCUUAUGUGUCUGUGCACCCGGUCAAGGUGUAAAGAUGUAUAUAUAUAUAUAUAUAUACUUUUUACCAUGUAAACUGGUAAAAUAAAAUAAAAUGAUAAAAUAAAAUUAUAGAAGCCACUGAUCUAGGAAGUAGUUUUGGACCUUUUGCUUUCCCCCCCGCCCCCACCCCCAAGAAUAGCUAUACCAGUCAGGCUGAUACUAUUAUCUCUAUUUUAGAGGGGAUGGAUUUGGUUAGGUAAAAUCUCACCACUGAGUGCUAACAUGUCAAUUUCUUAGUCUCUAUUUUACCAUAACCGUGUUAGCUUUUCCUUUGUUUAAAGCAUUUUCUUAACUUUAUCUUGCUUAAGAAAGCCAGGACAUGUAAGAUUCAAGCUUCAUUUCCAAAGUGAAUGAACAGAUAAAUGCUUGUCAGUAUUAGACUAACAAAGAGAUCAAAAGCAAUAGGCAAAACAAUCCACACAUGCCUAGAUGGGGUAAAAUGAAGACUUUGUGAAUCAUUUCCUUUUUAAGUUAUUAGUUCUUGGGAACCUAAGGAAGGAGUAUGGGAUUCUUACCUCAUGGUGGGUGGUAGGAAUUGUGUGAAGCAUUAGUGGCAAGAUUGCAUGCUUAGACUCACAGUAUAAGUAAAACUCAUUCUAUAGACAAUUCUACAAAAGAAUGAGAAGAAUGCCAUAGACCGUGGAAGGCUCAUGCGAUGAGCAUGUCAGCCCACUUCUGCUCUGCCUUUCCUUUAAACUGGUCCACACCCCAGACCCUUCACCAUUUUGGUUUUUGUAGGAAGAGAACUCAACCACCAAAUACCCUGUAGGCUUGGGAGGGCAUACACAUGAGAAGCAGGUUCCCCUAGGCUCAGGUGAGCCCCACCUUCAAGGUGGAAAACCUUGGGGACCUUCUGGAAAUGCAGAGGCAGAUAGGGCUUCAUGCUUGGUGAAGAGAUGAGCAUUCACAACUAGCUUGGUUCUCUACCAAUGGUCAAAAUGGUUGAUUUUGCUACUGAAUGAGAGACAUCAAUUUUCUUGAGAUUCAACUAUCUUUUGUGCCACUUCUGUGUAAUGCCAACUAGUCAUUUGGUGAGUUUAUUUAGAUAAAGAAUCAGAUUUUGAAGCAAACUUGUUUCCUCUGUGACCAAAAAAAGGGCAUUUUAAGCCUGCAAAUAAAACUUAAAAUGCUUUAUUUCUAUAAAUAAAUAAAUAAACUGAGCAAAUAAAAAAAUACAACACAUGGAACAUAAAAACUCCAGUAACAAUUGGACCAGGUCACCCUUAGUGUAAAUGUCAACAUUCUUUUUCAAAUUGUUAUUUAAUUAUUUGUUAUUCUAUAUUUUAUUUAUUUGACAGCCAAAGCUUCCCUCCCAGAGGAGGAUGUUCCUUUGCCUUUGUCCAGAGCCCUUCAGGAGAAGCAGAGGAAUUGCUCAGAGAUGAGCUGGGAUUGCUUGGGGGGCACAAGGAGAUAGCGAUGCCCAUCAUCAUUGUAAUAGUUAGGAUUGGCUCUCAGGCAUGGUGCCGAACACUUUACCUGGAUUCUUUAAUUUAAUUCACCCGACAUGAGAUAGGUGUACUGACUGUCCCCAUUUUGCCAAUGAAAAAACUGAGGUAGAGUGAGGUUAAACCACUUGCCUAGUUCAGUGUCAGGACUGACUCUCGGCAGCCUGACCCCAGGGCCUUGACACUGACCAAGGUUGCAGUGUUGUCUGCUCCUGGAAGUUCUCACUGACCAGUUUGCAAAGUGGGAUUGCUUUUUCUUUUUCUCCUUCCUUCCUUCCUUCCUUUCUUUCUUUUUUUGAGAUGGAGUUUCGCUCUUGUUGCCCAGGCUGGAGUGCAAUGUCGUGAUCUCAGCUCACUGCAACCUCUGCCUCCCAGGUUCAAGUGAUUCUCCUGCCUCACCCUCCCUAGUAGCCGGGAUUACAGGCAUGUGCCACCAUGCCUGGCUAAUUUUGUACUUUUAGUAGAGACAGGGUUUCUCCAUGUUGGUCAGGCUGAUCUUGAACUCCCAACCUGGCUAAUUUUUGUACUUUUGUAGAGACAGGGUUUCACCAUGUUGGCCAGGCUGGUCUUGAACUCCGGACCUCAAGAUGCAAGAGAUGACACAGGUUUGGUGUUUUGUUUGUUUAAUGACAAAAGAGAAGAGCAAAAGAGAAUAUGGUUGAAAGGACAGGAAUAGAACUUUCAAACAGAAUUUUCGAUCCCUAACACAAAGAAUGGUAUUCCAAAUCUGAACACUCUAAAAGAGAGAAUAAUGCCAUUCCCCUUCGUUAUUAGAAAUAAUAUUAUUAUGUCUAUUAGGAAAAAAAAUCACACAAUUUUAAUGUGCAUCAGAAGCAUCAGGCUGAUUUUUUCCCCUCUGGAUUUUAUUUUUAAAGUCAGAAUUGGUUUCCUGCCCUUCAAGUGCUCCACUGCUGAUACCAAUAGUGAGAUUGUGUAAUUGGCAAUAAAUUUCCUACAUGAAGAGCUUCUGGCCAGCUCCUUUUGAAAGCUUAGAAUGUUUUGCUUAGUUGGGCUUUUCUGUCCCUGCAAAGUUAGUCUCCUGCAAAUUUGUGUCCACUUCUGCAGGAGGGAAUUGGAAGGCUGAGGAGAAAUUUGUUGGUGAUGAAGUAGCACAAGACAAGGCACAAAAGAUGGGGUGGGGGAGUCCAGGAGGCUGGGAGGCAGGCAUAGGGUAAAAUUGUUGAAAAGAGACACUAUAGUUCUUUAUUUAAAAAAAUAAAAAUAAAAAAGCAUCUGAAGAAUUUGCCAAUUCAGCAUUUAUCUAGCAUUUGCUUCUCUGGGGCAGUGAUUCCAAAUUCCCAGCCUGUCAGGAGCUGGAGCACCCUUUGCAACUGUUUGCUUGAUCAUAGGAUUCUCUUUUCUCCCUCUUCUUAGAAAUAAUGCAUCCAUUAAAAUAAAACUAAAGUGAAUUUAAGAUUUCAUUGUUUUGAAAUACAUAUUUUAAAAAUACAAGGUUUGAAAAACACUCCCCCUGAAAUAACUCUAGUCCUUUCUAGGGAGUCGUGAAACUGUAGCUUGUGGAGAGUAGCCUUCCUUCAGGCUUUCAUAAAGACCUGGUGACUCAGCACUGGCGGACUUCCCAGGAGUCAGUUCCCACCUUGGGGAAUAAUUUUCCAUUCCUGGGGGAGUCCCUCCGGGAGACACCUCCUCUGCUUCUUCAAGUCAGAGAAGUGUUCUGCCCUGCCCUCCCCCAGCCUCCUGCCAGGUUCCUGCUGCCAGCCUCAUGCUGUGCUGUGUAUUAUAGAAUUUCUAGACUUACUGCUCCUGCUUAAUUGUCAACUCUUUGCCAGAGAGUUUGUGCUUGCCCCUUGUGUGUGUUGGAGUAAACUUUAAUUUCUGUUUUGGAGGCUAGGGCUCUUGACUGUCAUAAGUCUAAUCAGAAUGCCACAGAAUCAGGCCGAGCACGGUAGCUCACGCCUAUAAUCCCAACACUUUGGGAGGCCAAGGCAGGCAGAUCAUCCGAGGUCAGGAGUUCAAGACCAGCCUAGCCAAUAUGGUGAGACCUUGUCUCUACUAAAAAUACACAAAUUAGCCGGGCAUGGUGGUGCACACCUGUAGUCCCAGCUACUUGGGAGGCUGAGGCAGGAGAAUAGCUUGAACCCGGGAGGCCGAGGUUGCAGUGAGCCGAGACUGAGCCACUGCACUCCAGCCUGGGCAACAGAGAACAAAGUUUUCAAUAUUGGGAUGUCUUUUAAAAGACAUGUAUUUUGAGAUAAACUGAAGUGAUUUAAAUAUAUGAGUCGAUAACAAAUCUUCACAUUCUGCACAUGUAUCCCAGAACUUAAAGUAUAAUAAAAAAAUAAAUAUAUGAGUCCAUGGGAAAUACUUUUUGAUGCAGGCAUUCACCAAAUUCUUCACGGAGACACACAUAAUGUCCUAAAAUCUGAAAGAAAACAGUUUACCUGAGACAAUGCAUAGGUUGAACUGGUCAGCAAAGUGUCCACUUGUAUCUUUCAAAGAAACUUGUUUCUGAAGAGCGGAGCAAGUACUGCUUUGAAAGAAGCAACGAUUUGGAACUGAGAGUUCUGGAUGAAUGCCUAUUGUUGAGUGUGCUGGAUAAACGAGCCCUGUACAAAGAGGUCCAGGUACGCUGAGCGGGCACAGCAUCUUUCUUGUCGCAUGUAAGUCCGCUGUCCAAAUACCCGAUCUGGGGUGCGACUGUACACAUCCUCCUGAUUUGUUAGCUCUUUCUUGGCUAAGGUCAGAGAUGAAGUUCAGAACAAAAUUUAGAUACCCGGACACACUGAAAUGCAUUUCUUUUUUUGCUAAUGAAGCAGGCUUGUGCAGAAGACCCUCUUUAGUCAUUGCUUCAGGCCAGCAUUUCCUUAAAGGGUUCAUGACUCUGGAAAAGUUGAAUAUAAAUAGGGGAAGCCCUCAGCAAAGCUUUCAGAAUUGUUUUCCCUGUUUCCAGCUUUCUACUCCUUGUUCUCUGUGUCUUCCCUCAACCCUCCUUUCUCUUCUUCCCAGUCAUCCAUUAGGCAUUUUACAACUGAUGGGCUGUUCAUGUAAUGAUUGCUACCCUAAAGGAUCAUCAAUGGGGCCAAGCCAUUGGGCGGAUUGUUGAGGCACAGGGGACCCACAUGUGCCAAUCUCUCCAGAGUUGUUUGCUAAUUGCAUGGGAUAAAAGCACCUUCAUGAUGGAGAGAUCCGAUGGUCACCACUUGGCUGAAAUGGUCAAACUUGGCAGCACUCAUCAUGACACUACCCAACUUUGUGGGCCUCCUGAUGGGCUGCAGCAUAAAGCACACAGUCUCACUCAGGGCAUGCUCUUGCCCAAACAUUCAUUCUGAAUCUCAUCAAGCCUCUAGACCUAUCCUUCAAGUUACUGGAAAUACGGGGGCAGGCUAAGGACAAGCUACACAGUAGGAUGAGGAAGCAAACCGACACAUCAAGAAUAGGGGAAAUUUUACAAGAAGACUGUCCUGGACUCAGGAAGAAAAUCAACAUCAUGAUUUAAAAGUGUGUGUCGGGGGAGUGGUUGGGGGGACCGUUCUAGAGGAAAAGAUUAAAGGAGUCUAAAGAGACAUGAGAGUCAAAUGAGGAAUAUUUACCUCAGAUCCUCGGUCAAAACAACAGCCACCAAUAAGGUGAUGAAGAACAGGAAAAAAAAAAACAUCUAAGAGAGACAUUUAAGGAACAGUUGAGGAAAUUGGAAUAUGCACUAGAUAUUAGGUGACAGUAGGGAAUUACUGUAGGGAAUUUCUGAGUUGCGAUCAUUGCAUUGCGGCUUUUUAGAAGAAUAUCUAUUUCUUUUUUAAAUUUUUGCAUUUUUAGUAGAGAUGGGGAUUCGACAUGUUGGCCAGUCUGGUCUCGAGCUCCUGACCUCAAGUAAUCCGCUGGCCUCGGCAUCCCAUAUGUCUUUUAGGAUUACAGAAUUCACAUUCAGUUCCAGGGAUGAAGUAACAAACACUAAACUGGCAAGUCCAAUGUAUAAGAAAUAGAACCCACUAACAUGCCUGAAUGUCCACCCACACCAGCCAAGCAGAACUUCCAGCAGCCAGGCAAAUCCUGAGGAAUCUUGUGAAGCAGGUCAAGGGGUUGCCUGUCUUCUGGGUUGGGGACCAGGAAAGGCCAACUGGAGAGUCUUCUUGUCCAAGUUGCUGUUUUGUGAGGUUUUGGUGUGUAGCUUGCUUUUUUCAUUUUUUAUUGUUGUGUAGUUCUCACCUCACAUGAGAGACUCCAGCUCUUCUGCUGUUGUUCCAAUAGCCUUUGUAAUGCGAUUACAUGGGCAGCUUCUAACUUGCUCAGUCGUGGGGGAGUAGAAAUACAUGAUUGGAACUUCAGGGUAAAGGUGACAGGGUGAACCCAUACAUCUAUAAGAAUUUCCCCAAGUUUUAGUAAAUGAAAAUAAAACGUGACCCACCAGAAAGUAUCAGAGAGAGGAAAUGUAAAGAGGUCACAUAAAAGAAACAGUAUUUAGAAAAGCUUUUAUUUUAUUUUAUUUUAUUAUUAUUAUACUUUAAGUUUUAGGGUACAUGUGCACAUUGUACAGGUUUGUUACAUAUGUAUACAUGUGCUAUGUUGGUGUGUUGCACCCAUUAACUCGUCAUUUAACAUUGGGUAUAUCUUCUAAUGCUAUCCCUCCCCCCUCCCCCCACCCCAUAGCAGUCCCCGGUGUGUGAUGUUCCCCUUCCUGUGUCCAUGUGUUCUCAUUGUUCAACUCCCACCUAUGAGCGAGAACAUGCGGUGUUUGGUUUUUUUGUCCUUGCGAUAGUUUGCUGAGAAUGAUGGUUUCCAGCUUCAUCCAUGUCCCUACAAAGGACAUGAACUCAUCAUUUUUUAUGGCUGCAUAGUAUUCCAUGGUGUAUAUGUGCCACGUUUUCUUAAUCCAGUCUAUUGUUGUUGGAUAUUUGGGUUGGUUCCAAGUCUUUGCUAUUGUGAAUAGUGCCGCUGUAAACAUAUGUGUGCAUGUGUCUUUAUAGAAGCAUGAUUUAUAAUCCUUUGGGUAUAUACCCAGUAAUGGGAUGGCUGGGUCAAAUGGUAUUUCUAGUUCUAGAUCCCUGAGGAAUCGCCACACUGACUUCCACAAUGGUUGAACUAGUUUACAGUCCCACCAACAGUGUAAAAGUGUUCCUAUUUCUCCACAUCCUCUCCAGCACCUGUUGUUUCCUGACUUUUUAAUGAUUGACAUUCUAACUGGUGUGAGAUGGUAUCUCAUUGUGGUUUUGAUUUGCAUUUCUCUGAUGGCCAGUGAUGAUGAGCAUUUUUUCAUGUGUUUUUUGGCUGCAUAAAUGUCUUCUUUUGAGAAGUGUCUGUUCAUAUCCUUUGCCACUUUUUGAUGGGGUUGUUUGUUUUUUUCUUGUAAAUUUGUUUGAGUUCAUUGUAGAUUCUGGAUAUUAGCCCUUUGUCAGAUAAGUAGGUUGCAAAAAUUUUCUCCCAUUCUGUAGGUUGCCUGUUCACUGUGAUGGUAGUUUCUUUUGCUGUGCAGAAGCUCUUUAGUUUAAUUAGAUCCCAAUUGUCAAUUUUGGCUUUUGUUGCCAUUGCUUUUGGUGUUUUAGACAUGAAGUCCUUGCCCAUGCCUAUGUCCUGAAUGGUAUUGCGGAGGUUUUCUUCUAGGGUUUUUAUGGUUUUAGGUCUAACAUUUAAGUCUUUAUUCCAUCUUGAAUUAAUUUUUGUAUAAGGUGUAAGGAAGGGAUCCAGUUUCAACUUUCUACAUAUGUCUAGCCAGUUUUCCCAGCACCAUUUAUUAAAUAGAGAAUCCUUUCCCCAUUGUAGAAAGCUUUUCAAUGAUAUUGUUGGAAGGUAGGGGAUAAUCAAGCAAUGCUUUGAAAUAUCUAAAGGAAAACUAAUUCCAUCCUGGAACUCUAUGCUCAAACUGUUACUUGAGUGUAUGGGAGAAUAAUACACAUUUCCUAGAUAUGUAAGGCUCAAAACAUUUACCUCUCAUGUUAUUCAAGAAGCUAUUGGAGGAUUGGCUUCUCCAAAACAAGGAAAUAAGAAAGAAGGAUGCAUAGAAUGCUAGAAAAGGGGGAAUUAAUACAUGAAAAAGGUGGAAGGAUCUUUCAGACAUCCUGGGAGGACUGCUUCACCCUGGGCAGAGAGGGCAAUCAUUCCUGAUCUAAGACAUCAGAAACCUCCAGAAGAGUCCCAGAUGGCCCAAUAACCUGAAAAUAUUGAGAGGUUUAAUAGGUGGUUGAGAAUUUGGGAUUGGAUUAGUGGAAGGUACAGAAAAAACUAACUAAGCAAAAGAAAGAGAAUGAUUAUUAACUUCUAGAAAAACACAGUUUUUAGGAAAGAAAAAGUCAUCAUAGUAUACUAUGUGGCUCAGUUGUGAAUGGCAUCUUCACAGUCAUGGUAAUGUAAGCAGUGGAUAGUGAUCCAAUUAAACUUAAUAACAGAAAAUAUUGGUGAGGUGGGAGAUCAGCAGGACUUGUUUUCUGAGCACUUGUUCCAACCCUGCUGAUCAAACAGGAUCUGGUCAAAACAGGAUGUUUAAAGAAACUGAACAAAACCAGCUAAAACCAAGAUGGCAACAAAAGUGACCUCAAGUUGUCCUCACUGCUUGUUAUACGCUAGUUAUAAUGCACUACAUGCUAAAAGACACUCCCACCAGCACUAUGACAGUUUAUAAAUGCAAUGGAAAUGCCCAGAAUUUACUUUAUAUGGUUUAGAAGGGGAGGAACUCUUGGUUCCAGGAGCUCCUCACCCCUUCUCUAGAAAAUGUGUGAAUACCCUGCCCCUUAUUUAGCAUAUAAUUAAGGCAUAGUUAUAAAUACAGCUAGCCAGCAAUCCACAAGUGCUACUCUGCCUAUAGGGCAGCCCUGCUGUGUUUGUGGAGCAGCCAUUUUCCUAUACUCUGUUGCUAUAAUAAACUUGCUUUGAUUUCACUUUAUUUUGUUGGCAUGCUCUUGAAUUUUUUCCUAUGUGAAGCCAAGAACCCACCUGGGCUGAGCCCUAAUUUUGGGGUUCACCUGUGUCAUUGAUGGUAGGAUGGGAAGACAUGGAAGGUAUGUAUAGGAGUGUAUGUUGAGGAUGUAAUAUGAAAGAGACCCAAAUGGCCAUCUUCCAGAGUUGGAAGUCCAUAGCAAAUGCCUAAAGCUUAAAAAGAUCAAGAAAUUACAAUAUAAGCAUGUUAUUUAGAGAAAUGGAGAUAGGUACUCAAAGCCUUCACUAAAAGAGUUGGCUGUUGUUGCUCCACAUAGUGGUUAAUGAGAGGUGGCUGACAGCCUGCCUUCUUUUUUGUAACAGGGCUAAAAACUGCACCAAACAGGAGCCUAUUCUCUGUAAUAUUUUGUCUAUGAAAUUCUGGAAGAAUUCUUCUGACCUCAUCACUAUAGGACUUCAUGCUCUGGGCCAGGGGUCACAAAAUGGUGCCAUAGUAGUGGGUUUUUUUAUGACUCCCAUAGUUUUAUAUUUUUAAUAAAAAUAUUUGAAUUUAUUGAGAACAAUUACAAAUCAGGAGAUUUACAGGAAAAUACCAAUUUCUAAUUUCCCUUGAAAGAAAUCAGAAGAUUCAUGAAAACAAAUGCCUGCCCAACAACAGCAGCUGACUGACACGGGGACAGAGCUGUGCCCCUCAGGCAGCCAAAGGCCCCACCUGGUACUCACCUGCUCCCCACCUUCCCCCACUGGCGUUUUUGGUUACGUGCCUGGCCUCUGUAGGCAUUUGCAUACAGGUGUCAAAAUACUGCUUUUCCUACUUCACCUUUUGGAAGCACUAUAAGGGAUUUUUUUCUCUCUUUUCCUCCCCAUUAAUUUUCUAUUCCUUCAUAAGACAAGUAUUAUGCAAUCUAUUAGGGAUAGUGUAGCAGAGAGAGUUCAGUCACUGCAGUGAGAAAGAACCAGUUACGAAUCCAGAUUCUACCAAGUUCUGUGACUGUGAGCAAGCCACUUAAUUUCACUGUACCUCAGGUUCCUUUUGAGUUGAAUGGGUCAUAUAAUUGUUGUUGCAAGGGUUAGGCAUGAUAAUUUUCAUGAAGUUGAUUGCCCACUCCAUUGUUAAAAGCCACAACACCUAAAGCAAAUUAUUAAAUAGAUAAUAGAUUUGAUUAAAUAUCUUCAGGCAGAUGUAGGUAUUCCCAAAAGUUUUUUCAUCUCUAAGAGACAAGACAAGAUUCUGAUCAUCUAAGGGUCUUGGCCCAUGGCUGUUCAAUGCUGUGAGUGGGUAUAGUCUAAUUGUUUAAGUAAGUUGAUUUAUUGGGGAAAAGAGAAUGCUGAAGUUUAAAGUUUCAAGCCUAGAACCCAUGGACCCUUUAGUUAAUCAGUUUCCACAAAUAUUUACCAAGGGUCUCCUGGGUUUCAGACACUUUAAUGGGCUUCAAGUAAGGUACAUGUUGUUGUUGUUGUUGUUGUUUGAGAUGGAGUUUCGCUCUUGUUGCCCAGGUUGGAGUGCAGUGGCGCGAUCUCGGCUCACUGCAACCUCUGCCUCCCGGGUUCAAGCAAUUCUUCUGCCUCAGCCUCCCGAGUAGCUGCGAUUACAGGCAUGCGCCACCACGCCCGGCUGAUUUUGUAUUUUUAGUAGAAAUGAGGUUUCUCCAUGUUGGUCAGGCUGGUCUCGAACUCCCGACCUCAGGCAAUCUGCCCGCCUUGGCCUCCCAAAGUGCUGGUAUUACACACGUAAGCCACCGCGCCUGGCCAGUACAUGCUUUUUUCUAAGAGGAACUCAGAGUUUAAUGAAAAAUGCUUAUUUAUAAAGAGACAUAUGACUAGUUGUGGCAGUAAGAAUUUAGAAAAGAGGGAGACUUUUUAACUGUGUGAUUCUAUACGUUCUAGAAUGUGCUCCUGGAUGUUGUCAGGACUUACUUCCUGGGCUUUCUGCAGAAUAGGAUCAGCAGUUAUCGAUUCACAAAGGGUCAGAAGAUUGCUUUAUGUGGCCCUAUAUUUCACAGAAUUUUAGAGUUGGCAUCUUUAAAAUAAUAACAGGGAAAAUGCUGGGCCAUCCGCAGAUGUUCAACAAAUUCUUAGAAUAUGUAAGCAGGAAGUCAAUUUCAUCAACUCCGAUCCAUCAAAAAUGAUUUCAAAUAAGAAGGGCGGCGCUGAGAGACUGAGUGACUAGGUUAAGGUUACACAGCUUGCUAAUCAAGCAAGGAGUGCACAGAAAUGACUAGUCUAUUGUAGGGAGGAGAAGAAAAUAUCUUUCAGAUUUGCCCUGGAAAGAGAGAGAAAAGAUCUUCCACUGCCUUCUCUAUGGUGAUGGCUGGUGUAAGGAACACCUGCAUCCUACCUAAGUAUUUAACUUGAGACACGUGAAUCCUUUCAUUUAUUAACAAAUAUUUGGGCUGGGCAAGGUGGUUCACGCCUGUAAUCCCAGCACUUUGGGAGGACCAAGGCGGGCAGAUCACGAGGUCAGGGGAUCGAGACCAUCCUGGCUAACACUGUGAAACCCUAUCUCUACUAAAAAAUAUACAAAAAAUUAGCCAAGCGUGGUGGCAGGCGCCGGUAGUCCCAGCUACUUGGGAUGCUGAGGCAGGAGAAUGGCGUGAACCCAGGAGGCAGAGUUUGCAGUGAGCUGAGAUCGUGCCACUACACUCCAGCCUGGGCGACAGAGCGAGACUCCGUCUCAAAAAAAAAAAAAAAUUGUGGAGUGCCUACCUGUGCCAGGUACGGUUCUGCAAAGCCCUCUGCCCAGCAAAACAGAGCAAGAGACUGGCUCUCAUGGAGCCUGCAGUCUAGCAGGGCUGGUGGCAGAGGCAGCUGGGGCCAGCCACAAACAAGGGAUGCAAUAAAUAUCACGGUACUGUGUAUAGCAUGGUACGAGGUGGCAGGUGCCAUUGGAAAAAGUCAAGUAGAGCAGGCACAGUGGAUGUUAUGGGUUUCUGUCCAGACCUCCUCUUCAGGAUGAAGAUAUCCCCAUCCCCGAGCUGCUGGGAUAUCGGUGGCUGGUGAAUCACAGCUGCCUCCCUCAGCUUCUGGAAACAGUCUUGCUUACAGUUAUGCCUUUCCCAGGGUGAAGCCCAUGACCAAGUCUGCCUGACCUGGGAUAUAAGGCCCAGCCCCUUUCCUCAACUGGAGACACUCUAGGGCCUUCCCAGCUCCAGAGCUCCCUGUAAGGCUGGCUCAGUCCUCAGUGGCAGCCAGCCAACCACAUGGGGUGCCGGCUUCUCUCUCCCGAUCCUGCCUUCCCAGCUUCCUCACAGGUGUGUGCUCCCUGAGCACCCCCCAAGAGCCUGCUGCAUGCCUCUCUCUCGGUCUCAGCCUUUUGUUCCAGGGAACACGAUCCUAGACAGCAAGAUAAGAAGAUCAGGAGGGAGAGGACGACAGCUUGCCUAUUUUAAACAGCACGGCCAUUGUAAACCUCAUUGGGAAGAUAACGUUUGGGAAAAGCUUGAAGUCAUGAGAAAAAUUUUAAAUUGAUAAAAACAUAAUUUAAAUGUUUCUGUUGCUUUUGUCUUUGGUUGCUUAUGGUGAAAAACCAAGGCAAAUGUCUCUUUUAUCAGGAAAAUACAUUAAUGGGCUUAAAACAUAAUGUGAAUGAAGAGAUUGAAGCCUAGCAAGGUAUAUGGCUCAGCACAAAAGAAGGAGAAUUCUGUGAUUCCCCUCUGGCAGCCCUAAAGAGAAGGGGCUGGGGCCUCCAGAGGGAAGAAGGUAUAGGGCAACAGUACUUGAGAGAGGUGAGGACCCCAGCAAUCUGAUAAGAG